ACUGAUUUUCUCCAUCAGUUUGUUUCAAUUGUUAAAAGCUAGCGUUCAAAAUUGUACGCAACUCGUUUUGAGACAUUGGAGAAUAUUCAUGCAUAUUUUUAACUAAAAUGCUGUUCAGAAUUAAGUUAAAACAACAAACUAUAUAGACCAGUACACUAUUAGUAAGUUCAUUAUCAUUUUUAAAAUCAUAUCGUUCAAAAUAAAUCAUUUAAAUCAUUUAACCAGUGCUAGUGGUCGGGUGGUAGCACGGCGUUUCAGCGUCGUUAAGCGAGCUGAGUUCGAAUCCGAUUACAUAUCCUUAACACGUGGCCACCAGUGAUUUAACAUUCUCUCGCCGGAAAAGUAGUAGACGCACAACCUUCUUUGUUUUUCUAUAUUUUUGCGGGUACGCCCUACGCAGGUAGUUCACUUCCAUUCCCACAUAUAACAUAAAAUCUUGUGAACACCACUAAACAUUUGAUCCCCCAAACUCGAUCGGCGCUUGCUUGAGAAAAUCUACGAGCUAUUCCCUGCAUAUUAUUUUAUCGCUUUUAUUUUACUAUUAGCAUAUUAGCAAAUCAUUCCCUAUUAUGGUAAUUUAGCUGUUUACAUUUCAAAAAUAUAUAUGUGAUGUAUGUAUUGUUUUAUUUUUAAUAUAUGUAUUGUUUUAUUUGUUAUAUUAAAAUCUAAGCUAAGCCAUUCAUCUUCUCGAGGCUCCUGGCAAUGUAAGAAAGAAUUUCUGCGGAAUAUUUGUUGUGUUUGUUCUUGUCGUCUAACGAAGUUUCGUACUAUUCGUAUGAAUAGAUAUGUAAUUGAAUAAUGAUUUGUUGGAAAUAUUUGAAUAAAUAAUUGAUAGUAAGGGCCCAUUUCUCAGCGUCAGCUUCCACUCAGAGGUAAACGUCAAGGACACAAGAUAAUUCCAUCAUUUCCAAUCACUUGCGUUUUUUGUUUUCUGUCUAUUCCAGUCACUUACGUUACGUCCUCAUUUCCACACUAUUUUUAUUUUUAUUUUUAUUUUUAUUUUUAUUUUUAUUUUUAUUUUUAUUUUUAUUUUACCAUUAAUGAUAACAAUGGUUAUUUGGUGAGUCCACUUAUUAUUAUUGUUUUUUUUGUAAACUAAGUCCACUUAUUAUAUUGUGUUAAUAAUCUUCUACGAUCUAUAAUUGAAUAUAGAAGGGAACAUUUGUAUAUUAAAAGCUUCCAAAGUAAAAAAUGUUCUGAAAAAGAUUCCAACCAAAUCCCACUCUUUCAUUAAUCUAUUGCGAUUAAGUUAAACUCUCGUUUUCACUACGUAGUUUUAUAUACAUGGAUUCUCUAAAGUAAAAGCCCAUGGAUUAGGAUCCGAUGGGUGUACCGUGUAUUAUCCCAAAUCAUAUUAACAGUAAUUAGGAGCAUCCUAAUUCCUAAGUAUAACAAUAAUUAAAACAGGAGUAUAAAACUAAUAAAGAAUUAUGUGGCUCGUAUCUAAUCUCUAACAUGAGUUUCGUAAUAAGUAUUCGCCUUUAUUAAUAGUAUUAAUGCAUGAAUCUACGUAUGGACUCUGUUAAAGAGACACGUUUGAACUUUGAAUUGUGGAUAAUAUAGAAAAAGACUUGGGAAUACACAAGUUUCUUAAUUAAUUUAAUGGUAGUAAGUUAGUAACUGUAGUUUUUCAAAAAAAAAAAAAAGUUAGUAACUGUACGAUAAAAUACAUCUAUAUUUGGGGGUAAAGAAAGCUCCAUAUUCCGUUUUCCGUUUUUUUUUUUCCUGAGAAAAGCUUUGGCGCAGAGAAUAUUUGUAAUAAAAAUUAUAAUAAAGUUAAAGAAUAUGGAGCCUGCUAGCAAAGAAAAGAAGACGAAGAGUAAUAAAAUGGUUUAGGAUAAAAAAUACAAAAGACGAAAAGCAUGUUCAUCUUUUGAGAGGACUUUAAUCUAUAUUGCCCUACUAUCUCCCUUGUUUAUUCUAGGGGAAUUAGGACCUACAGCCAUGAAAAAACGUUAAUUAGAGGACUAGCGCUUUACCCUAACGGAUCGAUAUACGCCGUGAAAUAUACAUAAUAUUACUGUAAGACCUUUUCUAAUUUACCGGCUCACCUGCUAUGAAAAAAAAUUAUAAAUCAUUUUCUUUUAACCCCAAAUAAAUCAUGUCUCUUCCCUUUCCACACAACUUCCAUUCCCACUUUCUUCAUCUACGGUUCUUCCCCCUCCAUACGCUUCUCUCGCAAAUCUCCUCCACCCGCUCGCCUCCAUCUCCGUCGUUCUCGCUUCAGAUCGUCUCCGUCUUCUAUUUUGCUUCUCGGUGAAUAAUGCAAGCCCAUACCCAUUCCAAUUCCAAUCAUCGAUUCUUCUCAGAUCUCUUCAGUUACGUUACGUUUUCAGGUUUUAACCUUCGAUUCUCUUCAUCUCCUGUAAUUUUAUUUCAUAUUUGCGCUAUACUGAGAACUAGGGUACUCUUUUAGUAAAUCUACAGUCUCGUUGCCGUUGCGAAGUUCUCUAAUUGAUUUAGGGGUUGGGUGAUUUGGGGUUGGGGUUUCCCCAGCUGUUCUUAAUCUUUGUUAAAUUUGAAUUUUGUUUUCCUAGCGAAUAGCAUCUGCGAUAGGUAGGUUUGUCUGUGUUGACAUAGUAUGAUAUCUUUCGUUCCUAUUCUAUUUGAUAUGGUAUAGGUUAGCAUGCGUGUGAACAUAGUACGAGAUCAUUCAUUACUAUUCUAGUCGACAUGGUCUAGUAUAACUGUAUGUAAACAUAUUUUAUUUGAGAUAGAAUUGAGUGGUUGCUACUGCAGUAUUUUGUAUUCCAUUUAAUUUAUUUGCAUUAAGUAUUCUGUCCUAACCGUGUUUACCUCCUACCUUCAUCCUUCAGAUCUGGCAUGGACGAUUUAAACCUUGUGAGUAGAUUGUUUGAGACAGGCUUUGAACCCACUGGAAACAAAAGUUUUAACAACUAUUUCAACCUAUGUCAUCGCCAUGCCCAUCCGCACACGUGUGCUUCUACAUAACAUAUUUAUUCUGUUAGAGCACCUAUUAUAUGUUUCUAUUAUAUUUUGAUCAUGUAAAAUGAAAAAUCAUCUUAUUUGCAUUCAUGCUAUAAAUUGAAACGUUUAAUAUCACUUUAUUUUGCUUCUGAAUUCAUACAAAUUUAAUACUUGCGUAUUUUGAUAUAUGAAUUGGGGUUUAUAUUUUUGUGUAGGGUUUCGUGAUGAUUGGAUAGGGUUUAGUUUCUGGAAUAUUGGGAAAGCAUUACUUGUUUCUAUUUUGUUUGGAUAUGGAAUAGAACAUUUCUGAACUUUCAUAUCAUGUGUUCUAAUUUUGGUGAUAUAGAAUUGGCAUAUUACAUAAUAUAAUUUAAUAUAACAUAAUUUAAUUUAAUAUUACAUACCAUUAUGUAUUUUUUAGAUUUUGAUAUAUGAGUUUAGGGUUUAUAUUUGGGUUAGGAUUUAGUGAUUAGAUUUUAGGGUUUAGUUUUUAUCUGAUAUAGAAUAAAACUUAGAUGAUAUGGAAUAUAACUCUCGAUGCUUAUGUAUGUGAUCAAUAAAGUUAUACGUGGAUGGCUUUUUCUUCUUUCAAAAAAUCACAAAUACAUACCUCCAGUAUUAUAAGACGUGGAUUUAAUUUCCCGAAGGUUUGGUUUGCCUAUGUUUUGGGGUUUAUAUUUACUUAACUUGGGUUUAGGUUUAAUGUCAAGUGUUCUAUUACCAUCCCCAUUAACUUUGUAUUUCAUGUUGCUCAUGAGGACUGUAAAUACAUGUCUCCAGUAUUAUGGAAGGUGGAUUGGGGUUUAUGUUUCUCUAAUUUGGGUUUACUGUUUACUGUCAAGUAUUCUAUUACCAUUCCAUUAGCUUUGUAUUUCAUGUUGGUCAAACAUGGAUCGACUGUGUACAUAGUACCAUUUUAAAUAGUACGGGUUAGAUAGAAUAGAAAUAUUCUCGUAAUAGAUUGUGCGACUGUGUACGUAACUCUAUAAGACUUAUAAUCAUUAACUUACUCAUUUAUACUUUAGCAUAUGGAAUAGUUCGCCGCCAAAUAAAAUAGUAUACUUCAAUUUUUUUUAUUCGUAGUUGUUAAAUGGAAAUUAACUUUUUUUGUAGUCGUUAAAAAUAUAAGACGGUCUACUAUCAUUUUCUUUAGCUUAAACAUUGAUUGUGUCAAUGGUUUCUAUUUCUAAGUUGGGUUUAGUGAUUUAGUUCAUUAGUUUAUAUCUAAAUUUUCAGUGUUGCUGCUCUUUCAAUUGGAAUUGGAAUUACAGUGAUACUAUUCUACCCAAAUUAGUAUGGAACGCUUGUAAUCGGUAUAGAAUAUACGUUUCAUUAUCUUCUAUUUCGCCGUUUCAUUUCACGCGCUUUCAAAAUUCGCUCAUUAUUACUAUGGGUCACAAAAUCACCACGUCGUUUUCUUUAUGCGAAGAAACCGGAUACCUGUUACUAACAAGGGUAUAACCGGCUGGAAUGAUGGUAAAAGGACAGUCACUACAUUCUGUCAAAAUCAUGUCUAUUCUCUUGAUUUUCUUUUUAAAUAUGGCUAGUAAGCCAAUAAGCCCUUUAUUCUAUAUUGUCCCACUAAUAACAAACAUUAUCUUUUUUAUUAUAUUUAAAUCGAAAACAUUGGAAAAGACAUAAAACCCCUUAAUGAAUCUAAGAAAUUACAAACUCAAAUCGGAUCAUCCACCCAAACCCAUACCCAAUACGGAUCCCAUCAAUUUAAUAAUAAUAAGUAAAUAAGAAAAAGAAAUCAAAAUCCCUAAUCUUUGCAGCUUCUUCUUCACGAGCCUCCUUCUUCAUUCUUUUUCUGUCUUUUUCAAUUUCUCGCACAACACAUUCUCUGUCUCUGAUGAACCCUCAUUCUAAAAACAGAGACACAGAUUUUAAAUCAGAAUGACGCAUGUACGUUGCUGAGUCUGGCACUCGUUGAAAAUUAAAACUCAAUCGGAGCCUGCGACUCGAUUCUGUCGCUUACAAGUUACAAACGCUUAACGCUUAAUAAAAAUAAGAAGAGAGAGGUCACCACCGAAGCAGUGAAGCCAUUGGUGGAUCUCGCAGCGGAGAAGGCGAUGGUGGUUCUGAGCAGUCAUACAACAAUCGAGGAGAACAAAAGCUCAGCCGGAAGCUAUGACGCGAUUCCGCCGCUUACAACGCUCUAGAAGUUGUGCACGCUUCAGCAAAACAAGGAGAGUUGAUUCACCACCAGAGGGGUGAAUCCGUUGGUAGACUUUUGGGGCAAAGUAGGGGACUGUAGUGGUGAAAUGGUAGAGAAGGCGAUUUGGAGGCUAUGUGGACAUUGUUUCAAAAAAGUAAUUUCCUUUUCACACAAAGGACAUUUUUACCAUACUUGGAUCGAGUUUGUUUAAGAUAGUGUUUGUGAGAUAUGGUUUAAAUCUUUUUGCUAAGCUGUUGGAUUAUCUUUGCCACUGUUUUUUUUUGGUCAAAUCUUUGCCACUGGUUUAGAUAUCGUUUAUGUUCAUAAAUGUGGCGUCAUUCUUGUAAAAUGACAGUAACUGAAUCCGAGAUGCGAUCAUAUGGGUCACUUGCAACGAAGAUUUCAUAUUGGCUGGGUAACUAAAUGUCUUCGCUUUAUGGUUUGAGCUUGUGUUUCUCAUGUUUGUUAGAUUUGAUUUACUAAUUUGGAAAGGAUCAACAAAAUAUCUUCGCAUUAUUCGCAAUGGAAUAGGAACAAAGCUGAUAAAGAAGUUGACAAAGUAUCUGAGGAUGCAGAGGAAGAGAAAUAAGGAUAGAACAUAAGGUUCAAAGGCUUGGAAUAUACUGAUUAUGUGUUAAUUAAGAAUUUAAAAGUGUAGUUUACGAAUAUUGCGUAGGAAAAUUUGUUAUGUUUGUUGCAAAACUAAUUUGGAUAUUUUGAAUGUGACUGAAUGUCAUAUAGAGUGUGAUUGGUUA